CAGAACUGCCCGGGUCUGGCUGCUGGGGACAGUUUGCACCUUCACUUAAGAUGAACCUGCUACGGAUUUUCCUGUUCAUGCUAGUGGCCCCUUUAGGUGUCCUCUCCCAAGUGAAGUUGUGGGAAACAGGCCCGGGAGUGGUGAAACCCAGAGAGUCCCUGACACUCACUUGUACCAUCUCCGGAGACUCGGUUUCUAGUGACAGUGCGGCCUGGCACUGGGUCCGGCAGCCUGUGGGAAAAGGGCUGGAAUGGAUGGGACGCACAUGGUACAGGUCUGGCCAGUGGAACACUGAGUACCCCGGCUCUGUCCAGAGCCGAGUGACCAUCACACAAGACACUGCCAAGAACCAGUUCUCCCUGCAGCUGCGCGCGCUGACAGCUGCAGACACUGCCAUCUAUUACUGUGCCAGGCAGCCACAUGCACACAGCGACACAGAGCAAAGCAGGGACUGGUAA